rnacentral:rRNA from 1 species
GACGAACGCUGGCGGCGUGCUUAACACAUGCAAGUCGAACGGAAAGGCCUUUUCGGAGGUACUCGAGUGGCGAACGGGUGAGUAACACGUGGGUGAUCUGCCCUGCACUCUGGGAUAAGCCUGGGGAACUGGGUCUAAUACCGGAUAGGACCGCACUUUAGUGUGUGUGGUGGAAAGUUUUUUCGGUGUAGGAUGAGCCCGCGGCCUAUCAGCUCGUUGGUGGGGUAAUGGCCUACCAAGGCGGCGACGGGUAGCCGCACUGAGAGGUUGGUCGGCCACAUUGGGACUGAGAUACGGCCCAGACUCCUACGGGAGGCAGCAGUGGGGAAGAUUGCACAAUGGGCGCAAGCCUGAUGCAGCGACGCCGCGUGGGGGAUGACGGCCUUCGGGUUGGAAACUCCUUUCGCCAGGGACGAAGCGUUUUGUGACGGUACCUGGAGAAGAAGCACCGGCUAACUACGUG